CCCUGAUCUAUAAAAUAACUGUUAGUCAUGCCACCCACACAUAAAUUUGUAAGUGAAUUUCCCAAGACUGUCAUCCAAUCUUGAAAUGCUGGUCAAACAUUCGGUUGCCAUGGUUAGAAUAUAAUUUGACUAUAUUUUUCCUUACUCUAAAUAUGAUUUAAAGAGGCGCUUCUAAGUGUCAUAAUCAUGACAAGUGUAUUGUAAAU